CGAAAGACUAAUCGAACCAUCUAGUAGCUGGUUCCCUCCGAAGUUUCCCUCAGGAUAGCUGGAACUUAAAAAUAGUUUUAUCAGGUAAAGCGAAUGAUUAGAAGCUCUGGGGAUGAAACAUCCUCGACUUAUUCUCAAACUUUAAAUAGGUAAGAUAGGAUAAUUGCUUAAUAUGAAUUAUCUUAUUGAAUAACAAGUUCUUAGUGGGCCAUUUUUGGUAAGCAGAACUGGCGAUGUGGGAUGAACCAAACGUGAAGUUAAAGUGCCUAAAAGUACGUUCAUCAGAUACCACAAAAGGUGUUGAUUCAUCUAGACAGUUGGACGGUGGCCAUGGAAGUCGGAAUCCGCUAAGGAGUGUGUAACAACUCACCAACCGAAUGAAUUAGCCCUGAAAAUGGAUGGCGCUUAAACGUACUACUUAUACUUCACCGUUAAGAUAAAUGCAAAAUCUUAACGAGUAGGAGGGCGUAUUGAUAGUUAUGAAGAUCUACAGUGAUGUAGAUUGAAACUAUCUUUAGUGCAGAUCUUGGUGGUAGUAGCAAAUAUUCAAUAGAGAACAUUGAAGACUGAAGUGGAGAAAGGUUUCACAUGAACAUCAAUUGUAUGUGAGUUAGUCGGUCCUAAACGGAGGGUUAAUUCCUAAGAAAGUUAAAUUUAAUUUAGCUGAACCGUGAAAGGGAAAUAGGUUAAUAUUCCUAUACUAUAUCAAGGAGCGUUAGAAAUGGUAACAUAAAUGAUCUCAGAAACAUCGGUAGAAUAACCAGGAAGAGUUCUCUUUUCUUUUUAACAACCUAUCUUUUAAAUUACCAAAGAAAACCAUGGAAUCAAUUUAUUUGGAGAAAUGGUUUAAAGGUUGGUAGAGCAAUCUAUUUCUUUUGGAUUGUCUGGUUAUAUUCUAACGGUACAUAAAAAUCUGAGGGAAAAAUUUACUUUCUUGAAUAGCCGUACUCAUAACCGCAUCAGGUCUCCAAGGUUAGAAGCCUCUAGUUGACAGAAUAAUGUGAGUAAGGGAAGUCGGCAAAAUAGAUCUGUAACUUCGGGAUAAAGAUUGGCUCUAAAGGCUGGGUAUAUGGGUCUAAUGGAAUAAGCAAUUGGAUAAGGUAAAGUACGAUGGACUGUCGAUUAGGUUUCGAAAGAUGGACUAUUGUGCUUGCUUUAAAAGGCUGUGGAAGCUGUUAGAUGAAAGCAAUUUCAUACUGUAUACAAUGAACAGCUAAUUUAGAACUGUUACUGACCAGGGGAAUCCGACUGUUUAAUUAAAACAAAGCAUUGUGAUGGUCAUGAAAAGAUUUUAACACAAUGUGAUUUCUGCCCAGUGCUCUGAAUGUCAAAGUGAAGAAAUUCAAACAAGCGCGGGUAAACGGCGGGAGUAACUAUGACUCUCUUAAGGUAGCCAAAUGCCUCGUCAUCUAAUUAGUGACGCGCAUGAAUGGAUCAACGAGAUUCCCACUGUCCCUACUUACUAUCUGGUGAAACCGCAGCCAAGGGAACGGACUUGGCAAAAUCAGCGGGGAAAGAAGACCCUGUUGAGCUUGACUCUAGUCCGACUUUGUGAAACAUCUUUAGAGGUGUAGAAUAAGUGGGAGAAGCAAUUCGAUCUUGAAAUACCACUACUUUAAAUGAUGUUUUACUUAUUUGAUUACAAGAUAGAUUUAUAUUCUAGCAAUAAGAUCGCUCUUCGGAGUGGUUGAAUCUUUUCAAAGACAUUGUCAGAUGGGGAGUUUGGCUGGGGCGGCACAUCUGCUAAAAGAUAACGCAGGUGUCCAAAGAUGAACUCAAUGAGAACAGAAAUCUCAUGUAGAACAAAAGGGUAAAAGUUCAUUUGAUUUUAAUUUUCAGUGUGAAUUUAAACUGUGAAAGCAUGGCCUAUCGAUCCUUUAAAUUUAUUUCGAGAUAUGAAGUUAGAGGUGUCAGAAAAGUUACCACAGGGAUAACUGGCUUGUGGCAGCCAAGCGUUCAUAGCGACGUUGCUUUUUGA
rnacentral:rRNA from 1 species